AUGGACUGGUCAUGGAAGAGCGAGCCAUCACUGCCUCCGUGCAGUGGGUUGGACGUCGUCGCCUACGCGCUGCACCCGGACGGGCGCACCAUCUUCGUGUCCACCGUCUCCACUACCCAUUCCUUCGACACCGGCAAUGGCCUCUGGAAGGAGCUCGGGGACUGGGUGUUGCCGUUCAGAGGACAAGCCUACUUCGACGGCAGCCUGGAUGCAUGGGUCGGGAUUCAUCACAAGGGAGAAGGGCACGUUUGCUGCUGCCUGGUCGCCUCCCGCAGCGCCGCCGCCGAGCGGCCACCGGACUGCAGGAUGCUCAAGGAGAAGCUGUUCCGCCGCAACAAUGAGGAGCCGUGGAUGGGUGGCGGCGGGCACAUGGGCGCCACUCUCACCUACAUGGGCCACAACAGAUUUUGCCUCGUCGAGAACAUCUUGCGGCACGAGAAGGCUGUCGACAGCAUGCUUCAUCUCACCUUGUUUGGCCUCGAGUAUGAUCGCGAGGGAGAGCUCCGGACUGAAGCUCGGCCCUGCACCAGGUCCUAUCCGGUGUCCAAGAACACCAUGCUGUUCUCUCAUGCAGCAUUCUGGAUGUAA
rnacentral:rRNA from 1 species